rnacentral:rRNA from 1 species
UGGGUUGCUGCUGGUUCUUUAUGAACAUGUGCACACCUGUUGUCUUUAUAUCUCCACCUGUGCACCUUUUGUAGACCUGGAAAAGUUUUCUUAAUGCUAGCAUUAAGGUUUUUGGGAUUGGCCUUUGUCUUUCCUUUGUAUUUCCUGGUCUAUGUUUAUUCAUAUACCCUAAUGUAUGUUAUAGAAUGUAAUAAUUGGGCCUUGUGCCUAUAAACUAUACAACUUUCAGCAACGGAUCUCUUGGCUCUCGCAUCGAUGAAGAACGCAGCGAAAUGCGAUAAGUAAUGUGAAUUGCAGAAUUCAGUGAAUCAUCGAAUCUUUGAACGCACCUUGCGCUCCUUGGUAUUCCGAGGAGCAUGCCUGUUUGAGUGUCAUUAAUAUAUCAACUUCUUCAGCUUUUGCUUGUUGAGUGUUGGAUGUGGGGGUCUUUUGCUGGCCUUUUUUUAAAGAGGCCAGCUCCCCUAAAAUUUAUUAGCGGAACAAUUUGUUGACUGUUCAUUGGUGUGAUAAUUAUCUACGCUAUUGACGUGAGACAGUUCAGCUUCUAACAGUCCAUUGACUUGGACAGUUUUCAUUAAUGUGACCUCAAAUCAGGUAGGACUACCCGCUGAACUUAAGCAUAUC